rnacentral:rRNA from 1 species
CAGCAGCCACGGUAAAACGUAGGUGGCAAGCGUUGUCCGGAAUUAUUGGGCGUAAAGGGCUCGCAGGCGGUUUCUCAAGUCUGAUGUGAAAGCCCCCGGCUCAACCGGGGAGGGUCAUUGGAAACUGGGAAACUUGAGUGCAGAAGAGGAGAGUGGAAUUCCACGUGUAGCGGUGAAAUGCGUAGAGAUGUGGAGGAACACCAGUGGCGAAGGCGACUCUCUGGUCUGUAACUGACGCUGAGGAGCGAAAGCGUGGGGAGCGAACAGGAUUAGAUACCCCCGUAGUCCCUGUCUCUUAUAC